AUUUUGUUCCCUCCGUCCCAAAAUUUUUGUCUUAGGUUUAUUUGGAAAUGAAUGCAUCUAAAUACUAAAACGUGACUAGAUACAUUCAUAUCUAGACAAAUCGAAGACAAGAAUUAUGGGACGGAGGGAGUAUUUG
rfam:Hordeum vulgare subsp. vulgare, WGS project CAJW01000000 data, contig: morex_contig_1780992